GGGCCUUCAUCUUCCUUUUGGGUAGAGUACGAGGUCAGGGUGUUCCUUUUGUGCAGUGAGUGUGCCACAGUGCGGGAAGAAGCUGUACGCCUAUUGGAAUCUUAGGCGUUCUCCCGAAACCGCAGGCUAGCAUGCCCUGGAUGCUGCCUGGGCCUGGCUCCUUCUUAGCCUUUGUCGUUCCAGCGUAUCUUGAACCUCCAGACCUCCAGCAGGGUCGUGGUGAGCCGGCUGUAGACGUUAAACUUAACCAAAAUCCAGAGGUCCAGUGGGCAGGCGGGAAUGGUAAGAUGAGACAGAAAGUCCAGAAAGUACACCUUUAUUCACUAGAAUUGAAAAAGGCUGGGUUUGGUGGUGCACGGCUGUAAUCUCAGCACUUCGGAGGCUGAGGCCGGAGGAUCAUCAUGACUUCGAGGCCAGCCUGGACUACAUAGCAAAACCCUGUCUCAAAAUAAAAAAAAAGAAAGAAAAAAAACAA